rnacentral:siRNA from 1 species
AAGGAUGGGAUGCCUAAGCGCGGU